AUGACACAAAUAAUUGACUGCUUGAGUGGUUAUGUAUCCUAAGAAGUGUAGGAGGUCUUGAGUUCAAACCUAGGCUUUAGCAAAAAAUGUCUGAGGUUUGAGGUUCAAAUUCUACUUUGAGCAAUGGAGUGUUUUAUUUUGCUGCACUGGCCGUGUGGGUAGUAGAGGAUCACUGAAACACUGCUGAGUGGAGUGGAGUGGAGUGGAGUUUGAAUUGGUCAUGGAGGGAGUUGAGGAGGGAUUUUAGGAGAAAAUCUCAAUUCGGCUUUUGUGAUUUGGAGGACUCCAUUUCGAUUUUGUAGGCAUUUUGGGGUUCUUUUCUUUUUGUUCUCCGAAGGCCGAAUAGUGUGAAGAGAGAUCAAUCUGUCCUCACCUACCAAUUUUCUUUUCUCAAGCUGUUGGUUCUGCCCAACGCGAAUUGCUUCAAGGUGGUAAGCUUUUGGAAAUCCUCAGCCUUAGAUGGAUCGGUGCUGCGAGGGAUUCGGAGGUGGCCACACUACUGCUCCUGCUUUAUAUUUGACUUUUAUUUACUAUUAAAUUUCGAAUUGGGUAUUUAUUUAUGUAAUAAGACCUCUCUAAGGUUUUAACUUUUAAUUUGAGAUUUUUACUUGCUUUGAUAUAAA